rnacentral:rRNA from 1 species
GGGUUGUGAGGUUAAGCGACUAAGCGUACACGGUGGAUGCCCUGGCAGUCAGAGGCGAUGAAGGACGUGCUAAUCUGCGAUAAGCGUCGGUGAGGUGAUAUGAACCGUUAUAACCGGCGAUUUCCGAAUGGGGAAACCCAGUGUGUUUCGACACACUAUCAUUAACUGAAUCCAUAGGUUAAUGAGGCGAACCGGGGGAACUGAAACAUCUAAGUACCCCGAGGAAAAGAAAUCAACCGAGAUUCCCCCAGUAGCGGCGAGCGAACGGGGAGGAGCCCAGAGCCUGAAUCAGUGUGUGUGUUAGUGGAAGCGUCUGGAAAGGCGUGCGAUACAGGGUGACAGCCCCGUACACAAAAAUGCACAUAUUGUGAGCUCGAUGAGUAGGGCGGGACACGUGGUAUCCUGUCUGAAUAUGGGGGGACCAUCCUCCAAGGCUAAAUACUCCUGACUGACCGAUAGUGAACCAGUACCGUGAGGGAAAGGCGAAAAGAACCCCGGCGAGGGGAGUGAAAAAGAACCUGAAACCGUGUACGUACAAGCAGUGGGAGCCUCUUAAUGGGGUGACUGCGUACCUUUUGUAUAAUGGGUCAGCGACUUAUAUUCUGUAGCAAGGUUAACCGAAUAGGGGAGCCGAAGGGAAACCGAGUCUUAACUGGGCGUUAAGUUGCAGGGUAUAGACCCGAAACCCGGUGAUCUAGCCAUGGGCAGGUUGAAGGUUGGGUAACACUAACUGGAGGACCGAACCGACUAAUGUUGAAAAAUUAGCGGAUGACUUGUGGCUGGGGGUGAAAGGCCAAUCAAACCGGGAGAUAGCUGGUUCUCCCCGAAAGCUAUUUAGGUAGCGCCUCGUGAAUUCAUCUCCGGGGGUAG